rnacentral:tRNA from 1 species
GGGCGCGUAGCUCAGCGGUAGAGCACUACCUUGACAUGGUAGGGGUCACAGGUUCAAUCCCUGUAGUGCCCACCA